rnacentral:rRNA from 1 species
GUUGAACGCUGGCGGCGUGCUUAACACAUGCAAGUCGAGCGAGAAAAGUUCUUCGGAGCUUUUCUAGCGGCGGACGGGUGAGUAACACGUGGGCAACCUGCCUCAUAGAGGGGAAUAGCCUUCCGAAAGGAAGAUUAAUACCGCAUAACAUUGUUGAAAGGCAUCUUUUAACAAUCAAAGGAGCAAUCCGCUAUGCGAGGGGCCCGCGGCGCAUUAGCUAGUUGGGGAGGUAACGGCGCACACAGGGGACGAUGCGGAGCCGACAUGAGAGGGGGAUCUGCCACAUUGGAACGGAGACACGGUCCAGACUCCUACGGGAGGCAGCAGUGGGGAAUAUUGCACAAUGGGAGAAACCCUGAUGCAGCAACGCCGCGUGAGUGAUGAAGGUCUUCGGAUUGUAAAGCUCUGUCUUUAGGGACGAUAAUGACGGUACCUAAGGAGGAAGCCACGGCUAACUACGUGCCAGCAGCCGCGGUAACAC